UACGUGGGGUGCAAGCGUUGUUCGGAAUUACUGGGCGUAAAGCGUGUGUAGGCGGCUCGUUAAGUCUGACGUGAAAUCCCUGGGCUUAACCCAGGAACUGCAUCGGAAACUAGCGAGCUUGAGUCCGGGAGAGGGUAGUGGAAUUCCUGGUGUAGAGGUGAAAUUCGUAGAUAUCAGGAGGAACACCGGUGGCGAAGGCGGCUACCUGGACCGGUACUGACGCUGAGACACGAAAGCGUGGGGAGCAAACAGGA
rnacentral:rRNA from 1 species